AUACGGGGGGUGCAAGCGUUAUUCGGAUUUAUUGGGCGUAAAGAGCGCGUAGGCGGCUUGGUAAGUCAGAUGUGAAAGCCCGGGGCUCAACCCCGGAAGUGCAUUUGAAACUAUCAGGCUUGAGUAUGGGAGAGGGAAGUGGAAUUCCUGGUGUAGAGGUGAAAUUCGUAGAUAUCAGGAGGAACACCGGUGGCGAAGGCGACUUCCUGGACCAAUACUGACGCCGAGGCGCGAAGGCGUGGGGAGCAAACAGGAUUAGAAACCCCGGUAGUCC
rnacentral:rRNA from 1 species